rnacentral:rRNA from 1 species
CCCAAAGCGGGUGGUAAACUCCACCUAAGGCUAAAUACAGGCACGAGUCCGAUAGCGGACAAGUACCGUGAGGGAAAGUUGAAAAGCACUUUGAAGAGAGAGUUCAAGAGUACGUGAAACCGCAUAGAGGCAAACGGGUGGAUCCGCAGAGUCGACCCGGGGAAUUCAGCCCAGCAGCCGCGAGGCGGCCGGCAGCCGCUCGAUCCGUCGAGGACGGCGGCUCUGGCCAGCCCUCCGGCGGCAGGGUGCAGUUUCCCCGGCGUCGAGUGCCACGACCGGUUCGGGGGCGGACAGGAGCCCGGCGGCAAGGUGGCUCGCGCCCGUCAGACGGCGCGAGUGUUACAGGCCGCCGCGGUGGUCGCGUCUCCGGACCGAGGGACGACGUUCGCGUCCGCCGGCCUCGGGCCGUCUCGAAGCGUUCGACCGUGGACGCACUGUUCCGCAGUGCGCCGCAACCGCGCUUCGACGACCGGUCCCGUACGCCGCGGUCGCUCUCGGUCUCGUGGCGAAUCGGUCGGUCCUCCACCCGACCCGUCUUGAAACACGGACCAAGGAGUCCAACAUGUGCGCGAGUCAUGGGGUCUCCCG